ensembl:lncRNA
CAUCACUCAUGCGGGAAGCCUAUCCUGAGAUCUGGCCACACCUAUCCCCGGGCCUGGCUAGGUGACCCUCCGCCAGGCCCCUGGAAUCUCCUGUGUGCACCCCCAGCUGCACUCACCAGACAGAAGCCUCUGCUCCGUAUCUCCCUCUUCCAGGAUGCCGUCGACAUCUUGAGGGCAGAGAUAAUUCUUGCUUAUGUUUAUCCUCCUAGCACCUAACACAAUGCCUGCUGUAUCAGGCCCUGAAUAAGUGUUUAGCGGAUGAAUGAAUGAAUGAAUGAUUCAAGAGCGAACCAGAUAUGGCUCCUCUCCUAAUGGAGCACAGUCUAGAAGAGGAGACAGAUAUGUGAAUAGAGAGUUAAAAUGCGUUGCUUUAAAUUGUGUUAUAAAUAACAGUGAGAGUUGCGUGGAAACUCUGAGCAGAGACCCUAACUGGGGCCCCGCUUCGUCAGGGGACAGCCAGCAGCUGCACAGGCCUUGCACUGAGAAGGGCCUGGGGCUUAGUUUACUGCUCUGUGGUCACUGUCCUGAAGUUCCCCAUCAUUGUUGAACAGGCACAGCACAUUUUUAUUCUGUUCUGAGUCCUGCACCUAACCCAUGUGGAUAUAAGGUGGGGGACGAUGGGGGGAGAGGGUCUGAAAGGACAUGGUCACUAGAGUUAGCUAAAUGAAAUGGGACCGGGAAGGGCACUGGGGGAACCAGGGCAAAGAGAAGUGCAUGCACGGAGGCUCAGAAGUAGAGAGCUCAGCCGGCACUUCACCUUGGCUGCGGCCGGCACACAGGAAGGAGCAGCGUGAAAAUCGUGUCAUGCUUCAGUGUGGGUUUUACACGGAAGCCAUGCAAAGGCUUUGUAUGGAUUCAGGCAGAAGAGUGACACGUUCAGAUUUGCAUUUUAGAAAGUUCAGUCUUGGGACAGUGUUAGAAUCUUUCCCCUUUUGCUGUUGGCAAGGGAAGGAGAUGGGGAGGUGAUGAAAGAGCAGAAGAGGCCGUAUCAGAGAAGGGCCUCCACGGUAGCCCGGGAGAGAUGAUGCCCGGGGUGAGCUAGAACGUGCUGUGAGAAUAGAAAAGAGACCUGAAGGAGCGGGAUCAAUGGGACUUGUUGAUCCGCAGGAGGACAGACGGAAGGCGGGGAGAGAAGUCAGGCAGGACUCCCAGAUUCCAGUGAGUCAGAAUGUUUUGGGUUUUCCCUAAGUAUGGAUUUGUUCUCCACUUACUUUCUUGCCAAUGGAACAUGAAAACACUCCACACAUCUAAAUGACUACUUUUUUCUGAGUUAUUGCUCCAUCCAACCAUGAUCUUUGUGUUGUCUCUAGAACUUAGAUGCUUAUAUUAAGGGGAAUUUUGCCAGGCUCUCUUAGAGAACAGGCUGGGCCUCGUGAUUUUGGCAGUUAUUGGAACAGCAAUAGCAGACCUCAGCUUUCUGACAUCAGGCGACUGCUCAGCAGGGGCCCUCCUCUUUGCUGGAUGGUCCACGAGUUACUUCUCAGCAAUGUCUCCCAACAGCGUCAUCUCACAGAGAUCGCUUUCCCAUAUUUGGAGACAAGAAAACAAUGACUCGGGUUAAGCAAAAGCUAAUAAGGAGAAAAGAAGACAUUCAAAGCCAAGUUUUCUGAAAUCGUGUUCUUUACUCUUUCCAUCAAAUGACAUUUGCCUCAGGGGGUUAAACCAAGAAACAAACCGAUUGAACAAACAGAUUAGCUUCACUGAAAUGUUUCUGAGCUUUCUUCCUUUGCCCAUUAUUUAUGUGGUCUCAGAGAUGGCUGGAAAAAGGUAGGAACAGUAAAUAACGAAAGAGGAAAGAGAGCUGCAAGAGUAGAAGAGUUACGAGGUUCAUUGAACAACCACCGAGGCAGAGCAAGCCUGGGCGAGAUGACGUCAAUGUGGUCAUGAUGCGGUCUUGAAGAAUCAUGGCCAUUCAACUCUAAAGAUCAUCCACUCCUUUGGGCCAGGGACCAUGGUGUUUUGUUUGCUGCUGGAUCCCCAGAGCCAGGAAAAACCCAUGUACUACUGCUGCUGGGAGUCCUAAAAAUGUAAAAGGAAGACUCGAUAAGCUCUGAUAGGCGAUGCUGAAUGAACCAUCCAGAGGAUUCUUCAGAUGUGUGAAAACUCUCAUUCCAUGGAAGAAAAUCCUAACUGUUAAUGCUAUAUGCUUUGAUCCAGAAUUCAGGAGCCAGGCAGUCCAACCAGAAAAAACGUUGUCUUUGUUUAGUUCUUUGAUAAAAGCAGAACUUGCUUUACUUCAAAUGCGAACACUGUUUGUUCCUAUGUGGAGGAAUAUCAGGUUCAUUUCACACUGGGGAAGGGGAAACAUAUGUAUUGCAAUUCAGAUGCCUAAAAUUAAUACCUGUGGAGAAGCGGCAACAUAUAUGUCACCUACAGUAAGGACAACAAUGGUGAAUACUGAGUAAUCCCGGACAUUUACAUUUUUGUAUAUGCACAUCGACUGGUUUUAAUUAACUAAAUAAAAAACUGAAAAGAAAG